GACGGGGGAUGCAAGUGUUAUCCGGAAUCACUGGGCGUAAAGCGUCUGCAGGUGGUUUCCUAAGUCCACUGUUAAACCUUGAGGCUCAACCUCAAAUCUGCAUUGGAAACUAGGAGACUUGAGUAUAGUAGGGGUAGAGGGAAUUUCCAGUGGAGCGGUGAAAUGCGUAGAUAUCUGGAGGAACACCGGUGGCGAAGGCGGCAUCCUGGACCGAGAUUGACGCUGAGGCGCGAAAGCCAGGGGAGCAAACGGG
rnacentral:rRNA from 1 species